GGGAUGGCUAUAAAUCUCGCGCUGAUGUGAACAUGGACGCCAGCCUGCCGCUCUCCUGGCAGACUAAUGGAGAUAGCAGACCUCACUGCUGGGGCUCAAUUGCAGAACAUGAGAAGAACAUACGAACAUGUAUGAUCAAGAGGAGACCAUUCAGCACAUCAGUGCUCAUCUGGUUCCAAGUAGCUGAUCUCAGAACUUUGUCAAGUUGGAUCUUGCAGGAUCACAGUGAUUCUGCCUCAACAACAUGGCUAGUUACAACCCACUUACCGACCAGAGGACUGAACAAAGGGAGACCUCGGUCAAGCCAAUCGUCUCCAUUCACCCGCCGAGCUCCUGACCCCUGGAGGCUGGGCCAGCCUGGGAAGUCUCAACCUAGAUUCCUGCGGCUCCUGACCAGUAGAGGUCGCUGUCAGAGCUGAACAAUUAACCCAAAUGCAGCACCCUUUGUGGAUCCGCAACCAAGCUCAGCAACUUGGUGCAAAAAGGAUCUGAACCACGCUUGCAUGACUAGUGGAGAUUCUUGGGAUCCUAAAACAGCAUUUAAUUUACUAUUAU